UACGUAGGGGGCGAGCGUUGUCCGGAUUUAUUGGGCGUAAAGGGCGUGUAGGCGGCUUGGUAAGUCGGGGGUGAAAACUCGGGGCUCAACCCCGAGCCUGCCUCCGAAACUGCUGAGCUUGAGUGCUCUAGAGGGUAGUGGAAUUGCCGGUGUAGCAGUGAAAUGCGUAGAGAUCGGCAGGAACACCAGUGGCGAAGGCGACUGCCUGGGGAGUAACUGACGCUGAGGCGCGAAAGCUGGGGGAGCAAAC
rnacentral:rRNA from 1 species